rnacentral:misc_RNA from 1 species
AACGCACCUUGCGCCCAUUGGUAUUCCGAUGGGCAUGCCUGUUUGAGUGUCUUGAAAUCAUCAAGCCCGUUCGGUUUCACCGCCGAGCGUGGGUUGGACUUGGGGGCUUGCCGCUUCGCCGCGGCUCCCCUUAAAUGCAUCGGUUUCGGGUCUCUGUGGGAGUAACCCCUUGGGCGUUGUAUAACCCUCGCUGUCUGGGAACUCCACGCGACGUCCGCGUCGUUGAAGGGCCUUGAAGAAACCUCGACCUGCUGUAGAGUGGCGGUCAUUGUUAAAUCGAAAUCUGACCUCAAAUCAGGUAGGACUACCCGCUGAACUUAA